rnacentral:rRNA from 1 species
UACGGAGGGGGCCAGCGUUGUUCGGAAUCAUUGGGCGUAAAGGGCGCGUAGGCGGCCGAGCAAGUCGGAUGUGAAAUGCCCCGGCUCAACUGGGGACUGGCAUCCGAUACUGCCUGGCUCGAGUCCUGGAGAGGGUAGUGGAAUUCCCAGUGUAGCGGUGAAAUGCGUAGAUACUGGGAGGAACACCGGUGGCGAAGGCGGCUACCUGGACAGGUACUGACGCUGAGGCGCGAAAGCUAGGGGAGCAAACAGG